rfam:Lysinibacillus sinduriensis BLB-1 = JCM 15800 contig10, whole genome shotgun sequence.
CCUUUAUCCAGAGAGGCGGAGGGACUAGGCCCUACGAUGCCCAGCAACCGGCGUAUUUACGCAAAGGUGCUAAUUCCUACAGAUUUUGAUUAGAUCUGAGAGAUAAGGG